UGCAUUCACUACUGUAAGUCGCUCUGCAUAAGAGCAUCUGCUAAAUGACUAAAA
rfam:Salmo salar isolate Sally breed double haploid chromosome ssa10, whole genome shotgun sequence.